rnacentral:lncRNA from 1 species
GACUGCAUUUAGGGCUUUCGGCCAAUCGCGAUCGCUUGCCGUCGCUCCUUCUUCCAUCUCCGACCCAUCUCUCUCUCUCUCUCUCUCUCUCUGCUACAUAUAUCGGAGCUCGUCAUGGCGAUUCCAGGCCCUUACUCCGGAGUCAGCACCCUCGCCUUCGUACGUCUCCCUCUCUUUCUCUAUUUCGCUCUAUUUCCUUUUUCUCUAAUCACCUAUUCGAAUUUGGUAGGUGGCUCGCACCUCGGCUUUCGCCUUCGGCCUUGUCUACGGUAGCAUUAAGCUUUCCUAUCUCCGGGUAUUUGUACUAGAUCUCUCUUUCCCCUCUGAUCUUUGCUCUUUCGAUGUGCAUUUAGCUCCUACAUCCGUGCUUUGUUGUCGUGACUACAUUUGGCGCUGGUCACCGAUUGUUUGUGGUAUCAGAUCCUGUUGCUUUAUCCGGCUGAUCUGCUUUCUACGUGUGUGAAGGCUGAUAUCUACGAUUCUGAGUCUCUUGAUUUAGCGUACAGGACUUCUAGUGAGUGGGUCUGAUGUAGCUUGGAGUCGGGGUUUAAAUGAAUCAAUACAUCAAAAACUCGUCUAAUCCAUGACAAGUUUGACAUCUUUUGUAGAGUUGAAUGCAAACAUUGGAUCAUAGGUCAUAGUGCUAUACCAAAAUUCCAAUGUUUUAAGGGUUAAAAAAAGUUCAAAAUUUGCUUAAUACAUAUUUACUAGUAAAUUCUGAAACUGUGAUACUUGUGACAUCCCGAUUUAGUCUGACAUUGGAAGUGGGAGGUUGAUUGUGGUUAAUGUACAGGGCUAGAUGGGUAUCUUACGAUUAUCUUGAACUUGAGAAUUUUGUGCCAUCCAAUAUUGGACCCUAUCAAAUUAAUGGUUGGGUCUUUGCCCAUUGAGCUGUGUGUUAGUGACACCUAUUCUUGGUUAUUUGAGAUAGUGACUCAUUGGCUGAUUUUUUGUUCUUUUUUUUUUUUUCCUACCACUUUGUGAAAAUUUCUAUUUCUUGUUCCCUUCCCUUUGGAUUUGUCCUUAUGUUUUAUGAUGCUUGUUGCAUAACAUUUAUGGUUAAAGUAUAUGACCUGUGGCAUUUUGUGAAGUAAUAUUUACAUGCAAUGCUUCACUUCAAAAUUUGUGCAGCCACAUGCUUUAUUAAGGAGAAUGUACCUGUGAAAGAUGCCACUUAAAAUCUUCAAUAUUGUCAGCCCUUCAGUGUUUUCUAUUGCUUUGCUCUGGGGAGGGAUGAAUUGGAAUAUCUGAUCUUAUAGUGUCGAGUGUUGCUUGUAAGCUAGUUUCGUUAAGUGAUAUUCCUUAAAUUAAAAGAAAAGGCAGGGUUACUUCAUUAACUUUUAGAAUAUCCAUUUUCAUAAAAUGUGAUCCUUGGUGGUAAUGACUGAUGUGUUUGAUAAUCAUAAUCAUAAUCAUAAUAGAUGCCCUUGAUCUUUUCUCUUUUCUUUGUUACGAAGACAAGCCAGAGCUGGUUGUUCUUAUCGAAGAUAUUUUGUAGAGCUUGUUUAAAGAUGCAUAAAAGAUAACACAUGUUGAAUCUUUUUUGUGUGUUUUAUUCAUAUCUAAUAUCAUUUUCCAUUUGUUAUGUAGACUAAAGCAAAGUCUCACAAGAAGGCUGAUGCUAAAGGCCACCACUGAGGACAAGGAUGUGUCCUGCUGUGGUUCCUGUUGAUGGGUGUCCUCGAAUCUUAAUUGGCUUAAAUUUUUGUUAUUGUGAAUCUCUCUGCAAUCUGGUUCAUGGUUUUCUUAGUCACUGAGACCACAAUGUAUCAGAAAAGGGAAUAUCCUUUCGAUUUUUGUUUGCAAUAAUCCAUCUCUAGCUGUGUCGGGUAAAAUUUAACUUCCCUUUAUUUCACAUUAAAUAAGCAAAUGCAAAAUCAGCUUGCUAACCACAGUCUGCUACUAGUUUUGGUUUGCGUGCUACAUGCUUCUACUUCAUGUUAAACAUCUGGCAACAGCUCUCUUCCUGGUGUUCAGAUCAAAUGCCUGCACAG